rnacentral:rRNA from 1 species
AGAGUUUGAUCAUGGCUCAGGACGAACGCUGGCGGCGCGCUUAACACAUGCAAGUCGAGCGAGAACCGGGACUUCGGUCCCGGGGACAGCGGCGAACGGGUGAGUAACACGUGGGUAAUCUGCCCUCGAUUCUGGGAUAGCCCGGGGAAACCCGGAUUAAUACCGGAUAGCCUUUCGAGCCUUCGGGCGCGAAAGAAAAGGUAGCUUCGGCCUCCGAUCGAGGAUGAGCCCGCGGUGGAUUAGCUUGUUGGUGGGGUAAUGGCUCACCAAGGCGACGAUCCAUAGCUGGUCUGAGAGGACGAUCAGCCACACUGGGACUGAGACACGGCCCAGACUCCUACGGGAGGCAGCAGUGGGGAAUCUUGCGCAAUGGGCGAAAGCCUGACGCAGCGACGCCGCGUGGGGGAAGAAGGCCUUAGGGUUGUAAACCUCUUUCAGGUGGGACGAAGCCACUCGGGUUAACAGCCCAGAGGGUGACGGUACCGCCAGAGAAGCCCGGCUACUACGUGCCAGCAGCCGCGGUA